GACGAACGCUGGCGGCGUGCCUAAUACAUGCAAGUUGAGCGAUGAAGCUUGGUGCUUGCCCCAAUUUGAAGAGCAGCGAACGGGUGAGUAACGCGUGGGGAAUCUGCCUUUGAGCGGGGGACAACAUUUGGAAACGAAUGCUAAUACCGCAUAACAACUUUAAACAUAAGUUUUAAGUUUGAAAGAUGCAAUUGCAUCACUCAAAGAUGAUCCCGCGUUGUAUUAGCUAGUUGGUGAGGUAAAGGCUCACCAAGGCGAUGAUACAUAGCCGACCUGAGAGGGUGAUCGGCCACAUUGGGACUGAGACACGGCCCAAACUCCUACGGGAGGCAGCAGUAGGGAAGCUUCGGCAAUGGACGAAAGUCUGACCGAGCAACGCCGCGUGAGUGAAGAAGGUUUUCGGAUCGUAAAACUCUGUUGGUAGAGAAGAACGUUGGUGAGAGUGGAAAGCUCAUCAAGUGACGGUAACUACCCAGAAAGGGACGGCUAACUACGUG
rnacentral:rRNA from 1 species